rnacentral:rRNA from 1 species
AUGUUCGUGGCGACGUCGUCCUCAUUAGCGGCCGGCUCCUCGACGAAGGAGGAGAUCGUCAUCUCCUUUGGUGGCGAGGACCAGUCGGCGACGUGGGGUGCACUCUACGCCGUGACUAAUGAUGAGUACGAGCAGCAGAUGGAGGUCAUGCUCCGUCGCUCCGUCUUCCACGUUAACGGCCCGAUGACGCCACCUGAGACGCUCCUCCACGUCAAACCGGAGCCCACGCCCCUCCCCGCUCUCCCCCACGCAACCAUGGCGUCCAAAUCGGACGCCGCGUGA